CCGUCGUCAGUUCGUACUGUGAAGCAUCCUGUUAAGUCAGGCAACGAGCGAGACCCACGCCAACAGUUGCCAGCUCGUCCUCCGGGAUGGAGGGGACACUGUUGGGACCGCCUCUGCUAAAGAGGAGGAAGGAAUGGGCAACGGUAGGUCAGCAUGCCCCGAAUAUCCCGGGCUACACGCGAGCUACAAUGGUUGGUACAAUGGGUAUCUACCCCGAAAGGGGACGGGAAUCUCCUAAAACCAAUCUUAGUUCGGAUUGAGGGCUGCAACUCGCCCUCAUGAAGCUGGAAUCCGUAGUAAUCGCGUUUCAACAGAACGCGGUGAAUACGUCCCUGCUCCUU
rnacentral:rRNA from 1 species